rnacentral:rRNA from 1 species
CAUCAACGGUUUUUCAGGACCAGCGUCUCUUGACUAGUACACAUGGUAGCAUAAUAACUAAGGGAUUUAAUCGAAAUCAUUGAUGAAUGAUUGGACAAAGAAAAAUACUGUUUUUAUAUAAAAAAUUGAAUUUAACUUUUAAGUGAAAAGGCUUAAAUAUACUAGAGGGACGAUAAGACCCUAUAAAACUUUACAUUGAUGUUAAAUUUUAUAGAAUUUUAAAUUAAUAAUUAAAUUUAAUUUUUUGUUAUGUUGGGGCGACAAAAGCUAUAAUUAUAUAUAUAACUGCUUUAAAAUAAAACAAUAAUAGGUGGAGUUAAAUUGUAGAUCCUUCAUCAGGAUUACGAGAUUAAGUUACUUUAGGGAUAACAGCGUUAUUUUUUUUGAGAGUUCAUAUCGAAAAAAGAGAUUGCGACCUCGAUGUUGAAUUAAAAUAUCUUUAUAAUGUAGGCGUUAUAAAAGAAGGUCUGUUCGACCUUUAAUUUUUUACAUGAUCUGAGUUCAAACCGG